AGGCAAACAGCUUUAUUGCAUGCCUGUAGUCCCAGCUACUCGGGAGACUGAGAUGGGAGGAUCACUUGAGCCCAGGAGUUCUAGGUUGCAGUGCGCUAUGUUGAUCAGGUGUCUGCACUAAGUUUGGCAUCAAUAUGGUGACCUCCCGGGAACGGGGGACCACCAGGUUGCCUAAGGAGGGGUGAACUGGCCCAGGUCAGAAACAGAGCAGGUCAAAACUCCUGUGCUGAUCAGUAAUGGGAUCGCACCUGUGAAUAGCCACUGCACUCCAGCCUAGGCAACAUAGCAAGACCUCAUCUCU
rnacentral:SRP_RNA from 1 species